ensembl:lncRNA
CGGGUUCUGAUUUGUGUGGUCUUUGGCCCAGCCCAGACUCGUGUUGCUGAGAGAGCAGGGAUUGAAGGAAAAGAGACUCUGCCACACCCUAAAACCAGCAGCUGGGAUGGAGCACAUAGGUAAUCAAACAUCUUGCUUUGCUAAUUGCUGCUCAAUCCGAUUAAACACCGCUGAAGCUCAUCAACAGAGGUGGAGCAGCCCCCCACAGGUGAUUUGUAGCUGAUGCCCCCACAGUGGCAGGAACCAGGACGAGUCAUUCCAUGACAUGAAGAACUGAGGACUUCCAAAGAGAACACAGGCCAAUGGCUGGAAAUCGAAGCCCCACCCCAGCUCCCCAC